rnacentral:rRNA from 1 species
GACAGAGGGUGCAAACGUUGUUCGGAAUCACUGGGCGUAAAGCGCGUGUAGGCGGCAAUGCAAGUCGGAUGUGAAAUCCCCGCGGCUCAACCGUGGAAGUGCACCCGAAACUGCAUAGCUAGAGUGUCGGAGAGGAAGGUGGAAUGCUUUGGUGUAGAGGUGAAGUUCGUAGAUAUCAAGCGGAACACCGGUGGCGAAGGCGGCCUUCUGGACGAACGACUGACGCUUGAGACGCGAAAAGCGUGGGUAGCAAACAGG